AGUGAACGCUGGCGGUAGGCCUAACACAUGCAAGUCGAACGGAAGCACAGUAAGAUCUUGCUCUUACGGGUGGCGAGUGGCGGACGGGUGAGGAAUACAUCGGCAUCUACUUUUUCGGGGGGGAUAACGGAGGGAAACUUACGCUACUACCGCAUACGACCUACGGGUGAAAGCAGUGGAUCUUCGGACCUUGCGCGUUUGAAUGAGCCGAUGUCGGAUUAGCUAGUUGGCGGGGUAAAGGCCCACCAAGGCGACGAUCCGUAGCUGGUCUGAGAGGAUGAUCAGCCACACUGGAACUGAGACACGGUCCAGACUCCUACGGGAGGCAGCAGUGGGGAAUAUUGGACAAUGGGCGCAAGCCUGAUCCAGCCAUGCCGCGUGAGUGAAGAAGGCCUUCGGGUUGUAAAGCCCUUUUGUUGGGAAAGAAAAGCAGCAGGUUAAUACCCCGCUGUUCUGACGGUACCCAAAGAAUAAGCACCGGCUAACUUCGUG
rnacentral:rRNA from 1 species